rnacentral:rRNA from 1 species
AACGAACGCUGGCGGCAGGCCUAACACAUGCAAGUCGAGCGAAGCCUUCGGGCUUAGCGGCGGACGGGUGAGUAACGCGUGGGAACGUGCCCUUUGCUACGGAAUAGCCCCGGGAAACUGGGAGUAAUACCGUAUGUGCCCUUCGGGGGAAAGAUUUAUCGGCAAAGGAUCGGCCCGCGUUGGAUUAGGUAGUUGGUGGGGUAAUGGCCUACCAAGCCGACGAUCCAUAGCUGGUUUGAGAGGAUGAUCAGCCACACUGGGACUGAGACACGGCCCAGACUCCUACGGGAGGCAGCAGUGGGGAAUCUUAGACAAUGGGCGCAAGCCUGAUCUAGCCAUGCCGCGUGAUCGAUGAAGGCCUUAGGGUUGUAAAGAUCUUUCAGGUGGGAAGAUAAUGACUGUACCACCAGAAGAAGCCCCGGCUAACUCCGUGCCAGCCGCCGCGGUAAAAC